UCUUAAGGCUGGCCCUUUGUAUUGAGGCUUAAAUAUUUCGAUUUUUAUUGAGCUGCUUUAAGUGACAAGCGGGCUGCUAGCUGUCUUCAAGGAGUCCCUCGCUAAUAUUUUGGUGAACUGAACGUCUUGAUCGUGUUUGGAACUUUGGUGCCUUUUGUAAAUACAGUUAUUUAACAGAUAUUUUGGCAUGCUAUGUAGUUAAAGUACUAACAAAUGGUCCAAGAAGUCAGAGUCCAGGUUUUCCUAAUAGGAAGUGGACGGACUGGAUGGUGCAACAGAGUCAAUAAAUCCAUUUCUGUCUGAGAUGCACCAGGUCUCUUGUUUCCUCAAAGCUGCCCUUCCACUGAUACCAUUUCUGCUGAGGCUUCAGGAAACAGUAGAUGGAUCAACUAAAGGUCCAGGUGCAUCUCUCAGCACCUCUGACCCAGCCUGCGAAACGUGAGAGCGGAGCCGCUGAGCGUGAGGUCAGCGCCAUCAUUUACAUCCUAAACACAUGACAGGCUGUCAGGCAGAGGUCAAAGCAGGUCAAGUUCACAUCCUAAUACAAUGUGAGCAGGGCAAUCUCUUUACACACGCAAAAACAAAUAGCUGCUCGCAUCUACACGUGCAGGCCGUAGAUGCAGCGGAAAUGUGGUAAUUGUGCAGGAAGAGCCACCUUAGUUAAAGUUAUUGCAUAUUUUUGUGUAUUUUUCUUCUCUUUUGUUUGUAAAAAUUUACUCUUUAUCAAGCAUUCACAUAAAAAGUUCCACACUGUGCAGCCAAACGUUAUAAAACAGAUUCUCAGGUUGUCCUUGUCUUCCUUUGAUCCCUUAUGAAAAGGCUAGACAGUCAUGCUGCAGUGAUCAGUCAGGGUCAAAGUCAUACUCCACUUUCCCCUCCCUCCCUCAUCCCAUGUCGUCUCCACUGUAGUUUUGUAGCUCUGGCAGCUGGUGGUG
ensembl:lncRNA